AUUGAACGCUGGCGGCAUGCCUUACACAUGCAAGUCGAACGGCAGCACGGGAGCAAUCCUGGUGGCGAGUGGCGAACGGGUGAGUAAUAUAUCGGAACGUGCCCAGUAGUGGGGGAUAGCCCGGCGAAAGCCGGAUUAAUACCGCAUACGACCUGAGGGUGGAAAGCGGGGGAGUCGCAAGACCUCGCGCUAUUGGAGCGGCCGAUAUCAGAUUAGCUUGUUGGUGGGGUAAAAGCCUACCAAGGCGACGAUCUGUAGCUGGUCUGAGAGGACGACCAGCCACACUGGGACUGAGACACGGCCCAGACUCCUACGGGAGGCAGCAGUGGGGAAUUUUGGACAAUGGGCGCAAGCCUGAUCCAGCCAUGCCGCGUGAAGGAUGAAGUAUUUCGGUAUGUAAACUUCGAAAGAAUAGGAAGAAUAAAUGACGGUACUAUUUAUAAGGUCCGGGCUAACUACGUGCCAGCAGCCGCGGUAAU
rnacentral:rRNA from 1 species